UGAAAGUUUUAGUUUAUUAACUUGUUUUUCAGACUGCGAAGUUCACUGACUGGAGUUUUAUGGUCCUCUGGCGGGCGCUGGCCAGCCCCCCGAAGGGCGCCGGUGCGGAGGACCGCGGCCCGCCAAAGCAACAGAGGUAGGUACACAUUGGGUGGGAGAGUCGAGCCGGAGCUCGAAUCAACUCGGUAAUGAUCCUUCCGUAGGUGAACCUGCGGAAGGAUCAUUA
rnacentral:rRNA from 1 species